rfam:Triticum aestivum genome assembly, contig: Triticum_aestivum_CS42_TGACv1_scaffold_157955_2DL
GAACAUGAACUCAGGCUAGCCAAGGAGACUGCCCAUGAAACCACACCCCAAGGCCAAUUAAGCCUUGAGGGAGGAACAAGACACAGGCAAGUCAUCCUUGGCUAUCACAGAUAAGGCCCUUGC